AGCGGAGGAAAAGAAACUACAAGGAUUCCCCUAGUAACGGCGAGCGAACCGGGAAUAGCCCAACUUGAAAAUCUCCCUUUGGAGAAUUGUAGUCUAGAGAAGCGCUUUCUAGGGCUGGCGGAACUCAAGUCGGAUCGAAUGCCGCGUCAGAGAGGGUGAUAACCCCGUCGGUUCCUGCCUAGUCCUUCCACGAAGUGCUUUCCACGAGUCGGGUUGUUUGGGAAUGCAGCCCUAAUUUGGAGGUAAAUCCCUUCUAAGGCUAAAUACUGCCGAGAGACCGAUAGCGAACAAGUACCGUGAGGGAAAGAUGAAAAGAACUUUGAAAAGAGAGUUAAAAGUGCUUGAAAUUGUUGAGAGGGAAGCGAUUGGCGCUCGUAGGUGCGCCCAGGCUUAAGCGGUCCUAACGGCCCGUUGAAUGUGCUGGGUGCUGGUCAGAAUGGGUUGAGUUGGCGGGACAAAAGCUGGGUCCACCCAGGUAACCCGGCCGAUGCCGCCGACUCGACCAAGGAGUAAAGAGUACCUUGUCCUUCGGGAUCUGUGCUCUAAAGAUUCUGGCAGAAGAGCGUCAAUCGACCCGUCUUGAAACACGGACCAAGGAGUCUAACAUGUAUGCGAGUUGGCGGGUGGAAAACCCGUAAGCGCAAGUAACCUGACUGGUGGGAUGGGGUAAAACCCUGCACCAUCGACCGACCAUGUUGUUUCUACGAAAGGUUUGAGUGCGAGCAUACCUGUUGGGACCCGAAAGAUGGUGAACUAUGCCUGAGCAGGGUGAAGCCAGAGGAAACUCUGGUGGAGGCUCGUAGAUGUGCUGACGUGCAAAUCGCUUUUCAGACUUGGGUAUAGGGGCGAAAGACUAAUCGAACCUUCUAGUA
rnacentral:rRNA from 1 species